rnacentral:pre_miRNA from 1 species
CUUAUACUCCUUCCGUCCAAUAAAGGAUGUCUCAAUUUUGACUAAUUUUGAAUGCAUCUAUACAGAUAUAUUCAAAUUUUAACAAACUUAGAGACAUCUUUUCUUGAACGGAGGGAGUAUAUGUAUUCAAAUUUUAACAAACUUGAGACAUCUUUUAUUGAACGGAGGGAGUAUAUG